rnacentral:SRP_RNA from 1 species
GCUGAGUUGCGUUGCGCCAACUUAUGACCCAAGUGGGACCAUCAAAGUGAUGGAAUAAGGCUAUGGUUUUUUGAGCUGGGUUGGUAGCCAGCAAUAUGCUGGCCUGCCCGCUCCAAGUUGAGAGUUGGACCGUGGGACUUGGGCGAAAGUUUGGGUCUCUUGGUUCCUAGACAAAGAGGGCACUGCUAAUUAAGGCCCCAUUAAGCUUGGUGAGCCUAGCCUAUGAACCAUAAAUUUU